UACGGAGGAUCCAAGCGUUAUCCGGAAUCAUUGGGUUUAAAGGGUCCGUAGGCGGUCUUAUAAGUCAGUGGUGAAAUCUCCCCGCUCAACGGGGAAACGGCCAUUGAUACUGUAGGACUUGAAUUAUUAGGAAGUAACUAGAAUAUGUAGUGUAGCGGUGAAAUGCUUAGAGAUUACAUGGAAUACCAAUUGCGAAGGCAGGUUACUACUAAUGGAUUGACGCUGAUGGACGAAAGCGUGGGUAGCGAACAGGAUUAGAUACCCUGGUAGUCCACGCCGUAAACGAUGGAUACUAGCUGUUGGGAGCAAUCUCAGUGGCUAAGCGAAAGUGAUAAGUAUCCCACCUGGGGAGUACGUUCGCAAGAAUGAA
rnacentral:rRNA from 1 species